AUGCGACGUGGAGGGGGGGACGAGGAAGACCCCUACCCCCUCCCAUUGCCAGUGCUCCGGGGCCUCGGUCACUGCCCCUGCCUCCCAGGGAUGCUUGAUGAACUUGCUUGGCCUUCCAGGCGGACCCCAGACUCAGAUGGCAUCCAAAGGAAAAGAAAACUGAAAACCAAAGCCAGGGUCAAUCUGGUCACGCUGUCCUCACAGGGCUGGGAAGAAACAGUAAUGGCCCACUCAAAGAACUUGCUGCAACCUCCCAGCCUGAGGAGACGUGGUCAUCAGCUACAGCUGUCACCCUGCGAAAGCUUGUCAGGCAAAGGCUUUUUGUCUGGAUCAUCCUCACCUCAGCCAGUUUACAAAACCCUAGUAACUCAAAAACCCAAUGCCAGUCCUAAAGUUUAUACUUAUCCUAGACACUGUCAUCAGGAAAAGGCGGAGCCCAGAAUGACCAAUUUGCUUCUAAAAAUGGAAGUCAAACCCAGGAUUCAGAUGAGGGAAGGAAUGGUGAUAACACAACUCCUUGCACUGGAAAACAGCCAAAUUCAACACCUUCGUCACAGGAUGUACUUUAGAAGUUGGGAAUAUUCCUUAUCCUGA
rnacentral:lncRNA from 1 species